rnacentral:rRNA from 1 species
AUUGAACGCUGGCGGCAUGCCUUACACAUGCAAGUCGAACGGCAGCACGGGGCAACCUGGUGGCGAGUGGCGAACGGGUGAGUAAUGCAUCGGAACGUACCUUUCAGUGGGGGAUAACGUAGCGAAAGUUACGCUAAUACCGCAUAUUCUGUGAGCAGGAAAGCAGGGGAUCGCAAGACCUUGCGCCGAUUGAGCGGCCGAUGUCAGAUUAGCUAGUUGGUGAGGUAAAGGCUCACCAAGGCGACGAUCUGUAGCGGGUCUGAGAGGAUGAUCCGCCAAACUGGAACUGAGACACGGUCCAGACUCCUACGGGAGGCAGCAGUGGGGAGUUUUGGACAAUGGGGGCAACCCUGAUCCAGCCAUGCCGCGUGAGUGAAGAAGGCCUUCGGGUUGUAAAGCUCUUUCGGCCGGGAAGAAAUCGCACGGGCUAAUACCCUGUGUGGAUGACGGUACCGGAAUAAGAAGCACCGGCUAACUACGUGCCAGCAGCCGCCGUAACAC